rnacentral:rRNA from 1 species
CCUACGGGUGGCUGCAGUGGGGAAUUUUGGACAAUGGGGGCAACCCUGAUCCAGCCAUGCCGCGUGCGGGAAGAAGGCCUUCGGGUUGUAAACCGCUUUUAGCCGGGAAGAAAAGGCGAUGUCUAAUACGGGUCGUUCUUGACGGUACCGGCGGAAUAAGCACCGGCUAACUACGUGCCAGCAGCCGCGGUAAUACGUAGGGUGCUAGCGUUAAUCGGAGCGACUGGGCGUAAAGCGUGCGCAGGCGGUUGAAAGCCCCGGGCUUAACCUGGGAACUGCAUUGGAGACUGGCGGGCUGGAGUGUGGCAGAGGGGGGUGGAAUUCCGCGUGUAGCAGUGAAAUGCGUAGAGAUGCGGAGGAACACCGAUGGCGAAGGCAGCCCCCUGGGCCGACACUGACGCUCAGGCACGAAAGCGUGGGGAGCAAACAGGAUUAGAUACCCCAGUAGUC